rnacentral:tRNA from 1 species
GCGGUCGUAGUCUAGUGGUAGGACCCUAGCCUUCCAAGCUAGUGACCCGGGUUCGAAUCCCGGCGACCGCA